UACGGGGGGGGCAAGCGUUGUUCGGAAUUACUGGGCGUAAAGGGCUCGUAGGCGGCCAACUAAGUCGGACGUGAAAUCCCUCGGCUUAACCGGGGAACUGCGUCCGAUACUGGAUGGCUGGAGGUUGGGAGAGGGAUGCGGAAUUCCAGGUGUAGCGGUGAAAUGCGUAGAUAUCUGGAGGAACACCGGUGGCGAAGGCGGCAUCCUGGACCAAUACUGACGCUGAGGAGCGAAAGCCAGGGGAGCAAACGGG
rnacentral:rRNA from 1 species